rnacentral:rRNA from 1 species
AUUGAACGCUGGCGGCAGGCCUAACACAUGCAAGUCGAGGGAAGUGGCGCACGGGUGAGUAAUAUAUAGCUAAUCUGCCCCUUGCUGGAGGACAACAGUUAGAAAUGACUGCUAAUACUCCAUAGCAAGGGAUGAGACUAUAUCGUAUCAGCUAGUCGGUGGGGUAACGGCCUACCGAGGCUAUGACGCGUAACUGGGCUGAGAGGAUGAUCAGUCACAUUGGAACGGGGACACAGUCGAAACUCCUUCGGGAGGGAGCAGUAGGGAAUAUUGCGCAGUGGGGGGAGCCCUGACGCAGCAACGCCGCGUGGAGGAUGACACUUGUAGGGGCGUAAACUCCUGUUGUUAGGGAAGCGGUACCUAACGAAUAAGCACCGGCUAACUCCGUGCCAGCAGCCGCGGUAAUAC